CCUUCGAUAGCUCAGCUGGUAGAGCGGAGGACUGUAGGAGUGCUCGGCUACUGAAAUCCUUAGGUCGCUGGUUCGAUUCCGGCUCGAAGGA
rnacentral:tRNA from 1 species